GAACUCAUUUCCUUCUUCACCGUGAGAAAGGUUCCAUAUUCGUGAAGCAACCAGGGUUACCAAGCAGACUAUGCCGAAUAAGCCGAGCGUGGCUGAGGGGCAAACGUGUCGGCAAUGUUCGCCUGGUGGGGCACACUGCUAUAUCUCCCUGUGGUGGAAAACACCUCCAUCGUGUGACAGUGUGGUACUAACAAAGGUACGACCCAUAGAAACUCCCAUCGUCGAGAGCUGUCUCAGGUGUCAAGUUUUCGGCUGCGUGCUCCUACUCUUGUACAGUCGGCUGCACUGCGGUGACAACAGUCAUCUCGUAUGACAGCCUGAGCCCCUUUCUAGAGUACCUGCACCCCAGUACAUGCAUCCCAUUUUGAGCCAAACCACGGCCGGCUUGUGGAGGGAAGGGUUGGUACAUGCCCAUUUGUUUCAUCACCCUGUGGAUAUUGUGUGGUUCCACAUGCACGUCUAGCACAAGGUGACAGGUAGUCCUCCAGAGUUGUGCAUCUCGCGUGCAAAGAUCUGCGAGACCAUGCGGGCCCCUGUCGUGUACAUCGUGUGGGGUGUAAGGAGUCCACCGAACACGGUCAGGCGUAAGCUGAUCAAAGUCAGCUACAAACUGCGUGUACACACGCCGUGUUGUCCCGCUAACCCACCUCAGCUGCAACCAGAAGAAAUUCAUUGUAUCAAAAUAGUAUACCAGUAGUAAUGAACCGUUUGUAACGACAAUACAAAAUAAUUGAACUAAGAUAACCUCACGGUGCGUCCAUAAUGAUCCCAUAGUGGGACGAUCGUUGAUGUCAUCGACACCAGAUGUAUACAUCUCGGACACCCUAUAGCUUGCGUACGAGUCGAGCUGAGGUCUCCCAAUGUCGAACCGCUCGUGCGCCCACAACAUAAGCAGCAACGGACAUUCUGUUAGUGAACUUUGCUUGCUAUUCCUCACGCAAGCAUCGCACAAUCAAGCAUAAGUUGCCGCAAGUACCGCCGACCCCCAACUAUACUGUGGAAUAUCGUCCAUAGGUAAUGUUGCAAUCUCCUCUACGUAGUGGAUGAAGUGCUUGUCCACGGAGUCAGCAUGUGUUCCUGUGAACAUCACUCUUCCGAACAACCACAGGAGGUAAGCGACUAAGUGCCGUUGCUGUAUCCACUCGUCCUAGUCAUCUGAGAAGACAUCCUGCCGAAACAGAUUGAGCCAGGUCUUCGUUGGCCCAUGGCCAUCCGUGAGAUCAUUAAGUCCAUCGGGUAGCACACCUGCAAAACUGGCAAGAAGGUCGUCGACCCAUCCAGCAUGUACCACAGUUGGGCCAACUGCUGGCCCAGCUAGCGGCAGCCCCAACAAAUAAGACACAUCCUGCAAAGUGGGCACCAUCUCUCCAACUGUCAGGUGGAAAGUGUGGGUCUCCGGCCUCCAUCUAUCCACAAGAGCACUAAGAAGCGCCGCGUCAAUUGGGAUUCUUUUGGCCCUUCCACGUGAAGGCUCGACCAGCCGUGCAAAGGUCAACAGCCCAGCUGCUCUCAACCUACAACAUGAAGUACAGUAUGUUAGUAGUACAUCAAGAUUUGAAAAUAAGAUAUUAAUAAGAAAACUAUCUGUAAAUUUAUGCACCUUGGAAUCCAACGAGGAUCAAUACGCCAAUAUUGAUCCAGUC